rnacentral:sRNA from 1 species
AGAGAGAGAGAGAGAGAGAGAUAGAUAACAAACAACAAAUCAGGUCCUCAAGCAGAAAUUGCCUGGACAAGCCCUCUUGAAUCUGACACUUGUUGUUCCCAGCACAGAGAUUCUCAGGCAGAGCAUAGAGUGUCCCUGGGCAAGGCUUCAAGGAACAAAUCACAGUAGAAAGAUAAUAUUACAAAGGGAGGACUCACAAACAUCUAGCAAAAACUACUGAUGAAUCUCCAUUGGGAUAGCCAGUCAAUUUACUCAUAAAAUACCCAGGCUGAUCAGAAUAUUCCUCCAAGUAAAGGACAGGUAGGAAAGAGAUAACAUCAGGAGAUCCUGUGCUCACACCAUUUUCAAGAAACUGAGGAAGUUUAAGCAUCAGCUGGAGUUUCACAAUGAGGUUUCUCUCUAUGGCUAAGGUUUCCAAGAGCUGAUCUUCUAGUAUCUCUUUCCCAAUGGGCUAAACAAAGUAACACCUUUACAAAAGAGUUCACCUUCCAGAUGUUCUCAGUAACUAGUUUUUUACUUGGGCUAUUUUGCUCUUCUCCUCCCUCCUUGUCACAGAGUUCAUGGAGUAGUCUCUCCCCAGAUAAGGGAUCUUGGAGUACACUUAGAAAAAUAUAUUUGGUGUUGAAGUGCGUAUGGAGUAACCCAACUUCUGAAGCCAGCUUCUCAGUGAAUUCAAACAACAGAAGGAAAUUUACCAAUAUAUACCUUUAUGUGGCUCGAAACGCCAAAGACUGCAUGGUUUCCUACUACCACUUCUACAGAAUGAGCCAGGUGCUCCCCAAUCCAGGCACCUGGAAUGAGUAUUUUGAAACCUUCAUCAAUGG